rnacentral:misc_RNA from 1 species
AACAUACCUAAACGUUGCCUCGGCGGGAACAGACGGCCCCGUGAAAACGGGCCGCCCCCGCCAGAGGACCCCCUAACUCUGUUUCUAUAAUGUUUCUUCUGAGUAAAACAAGCAAAUAAAUUAAAACUUUCAACAACGGAUCUCUUGGCUCUGGCAUCGAUGAAGAACGCAGCGAAAUGCGAUAAGUAAUGUGAAUUGCAGAAUUCAGUGAAUCAUCGAAUCUUUGAACGCACAUUGCGCCCGCCAGUAUUCUGGCGGGCAUGCCUGUUCGAGCGUCAUUACAACCCUCAGGCCCCCGGGCCUGGCGUUGGGGAUCGGCGGAGGCCCUCCGUGGGCACACGCCGUCCCCCAAAUACAGUGGCGGUCCCGCCGCAGCUUCCAUCGCGUAGUAGCUAACACCUCGCGACUGGAGAGCGGCGCGGCCACGCCGUAAAACCCCCAACUCUUCUGAA